CCUACGGGAGGCAGCAGUGGGGAAUUUUGCGCAAUGGGGGAAACCCUGACGCAGCAACGCCGCGUGGAGGAUGAAGUCCUUCGGGUCGUAAACCCCUUUCGACCGGGACGAUAAUGACGGUACCGGUGGAAGAAGCCCCGGCUAACUUCGUGCCAGCAGCCGCGGUAAU
rnacentral:rRNA from 1 species